rnacentral:rRNA from 1 species
UAGGGAAUCUUCCACAAUGGACGCAAGUCUGAUGGAGCAACGCCGUGUGAGUGAAGAAGGCUUUCGGGUCGUAAAACUCUGUUAUUGAAGAAGAACGUGUGUGACAGUAACUGGUCAUGCAGUGACGGUAUUCAAUCAGAAAGUCACGGCUAACUACGUGCCAGCAGCCGCGGUAAUACGUAGGUGGCAAGCGUUGUCCGGAUUUAUUGGGCGUAAAGCGAGUGCAGGCGGUCUUUUAAGUCUGAUGUGAAAGCCUUCGGCUUAACCGAAGAAGGGCAUCAGAAACUGGGAGACUUGAGUGCAGAAGAGGAGAGUGGAACUCCAUGUGUAGCGGUGAAAUGCGUAGAUAUAUGGAAGAACACCAGUGGCGAAGGCGGCUCUCUGGUCUGUAACUGACGCUGAGGCUCGAAAGCGUGGGUAGCAAACAGGAUUAGAUA